CGUACACUGAAUCUUCAAUAUCAUUCAGUUCCGAUUACCCUAAUAGUGACUAUCCGUUGUAUCGUCCUUAAACAAUCCAAUUUUCAAUACUAUUUUAUUCAUAAUGCGCCUUCGCUAGAAAUGAUCAUUAAACUAUUACUGGAAGAUACAGUUUGUGAUCUAAAAACGAAUUAGUGGAAUCCGAUUUUUUGUCCUAGCUGUGUUUGCAUAAUUCGCAAACAAAAGAAAAAAAUGGCGUGUUUGCGAUUGCAUCGAUAAUUUCUCGGUUGGAAAACUUCAAUUUAGCCGGAAAUUAGGACUGAAAGAACAAAUAUUUGCACCGGAAAAACAGUGAAAUUGGUUCUGACGGAGGUGGAAAAACCAUUCAGGCGGCUGCUCAAUCAACAGAAAAGCGGUAGUGAAAAUUAAACCGUGCCUUCUAUACCUCAAUUUCGGAGGAAUGACAACAUCAUCCACCUUGGCCGAUGCGCUGUCCAAUGUAGUCGUGCUGGACGAGUUGCCGUUGCCGACUCGACAAGCUUCCAUCGAAGCGGAGCCUUGUUCCGUUCUGUUUCAGACCAGUUUUGAAACUACAAUUUCGAGGAUCGCAGAGUUCGUAACCGGAAUUGUAAAUUCAUCAAGAACGUCGAACUCUAAUUUGAAUCAACUUUGGACGAAGGAAAAAAAGAUGCCUUUAUGUAUGCACCUGGCGGUGCUGCUCCCGAGCAAAACGCUGUCAAAAUCAAACGACCAACCUAAACGGCUGAAAAGGUAAACAAACGUAUUUUGUACUCCCAGCGGAAGGCAGUCGAAACCUUUUCCGGGGAAGUUGAAAUUCUGACUCCCGGUAAAUUUACGAAUCGCGUUUGAGAACGAUAACAGUACCUACUAGCGAAUAGCCCAAUUCCUCAAAUUAAUGUUCGUGGGCAAUCAGAAUGAACCAACGAGAAAAUCAUCAGCUUAUCUGGAGGUGGUGCUGUUUUUUAGUGAUAUGCGAAUUCCCUUAUUCCUUGCAAGUGGCUGCUGUCCAGCGCCCAAGUGAUCGAUCCCCAGGCGUAUCUGAUUCGUAUCACCAUUCAGAAGGACCACGUGAAGUACAUCAACGAAUUUUCCCGGCGGAAUGCGAAAAGUACCUAUUAGGCUGACUUUUGGAACGCUGACCAGAAUCAGGACUGCCGAGUGGCUGGAAAAUCCACACAUCAUUGACAAUAGCCAGGUUUGCAUGAAAAUAAUGUUUCAAGAUGAGUUGAAAUUUCAUCUUUGGAAGCCGUGACAAUUCAAGGUAUAUUCCGAGUCUUAGACGGAUAAUUCUUUCCUUUUGCCCAAUCAUACUUGGUGGCUUGCUUGCCUUUUUUCCUUUAAAUCCGCUGCUCAAAAAAUGUCAGGAACCUUUGCAGAAAACAGACAUCUGGGCCCAGAGAAGGCGAGCAAAACUAAUUUUUGUUACACGACGUGAAAAGGAACAGUUUUUGAAUAACAUGACCGAGUACUACCAACGGAAAGACUACUCCGAGGGCAAGGGAUGCAUAUUUCGAAUGUUUACGGAUGCUUCACAUCACGCCGGAGAGGAUUUCUAAGAAAAGCCGGUUAAUGGUCACCUUGCAGAAAUGUUGACGAAGUUUACUGUUGCUCACAGUCUGGUCAAGAUUAUCUAACGGACUUCAAUCUGUACUACCAUGUGCUGGAAAAAAAAGAACGGCCGAGGAAUGCUCGGUACAAUUUAUAAGUUUUCCAUUUAGGAUACGGAGGAAAUUCAACCCAGUUAAUGCAACAGGACGUCAAAGUUCAUUCGUAUCUUACAGCGAAGAAAAACAUGCCAGUUAUGACCAUUGCUUUCGGAAUAAGUAUUGAUAAACCGGAUGUGCGAUUUGUUACUCUUCAUGAGCAAAAGAAAGAAAACUCUUACCAGAAGAAUGGUCUUUCCGGGCAAGAUGCAAACGAGUCCGACUUCGAUGUCCCAGGAGGCUUUUCCAAUGUUUACUCGAUAUUGAAAUACUGCAUCAAUUGGAAAAUGUAACUUGUCACUUUGCGGAUGUUUGUGACGAUAGUCGUCAACUGUGUAAUUAAUCCUUUACCGAGAUGUGGAUUAUUUGCUGAACGAAAAAUCAGCACCCGUUACCAGGCUGUGGUUGUUAUUCUGUCUCGCGUUUAAUACAAAUACAGCUCAUAAAAAAUACAAAUUAUUACGACUGCCCUGACGACUCCGAAAAGAAACGACUGAGUAUUCAGCAAAACUGAAAAACUACUUGAAAAGAAGAACUGAUCAAUGAAAUCAUGCUGUAAAAGAAGAUACAUUAAGAUAACCAGGAUGUUCUGUUUGCUCUAAAUGGAAAGCAAAGAAUGAAAUUAUAUCAGGCGAUGAGUGAUCGUUUACCAAGCCCUUACUGCCCUUACUACCCUUACUACUGGAUUUGUUGGUGUGCUGAUAAUUAGCGUUAACAAAAUGAAGACGGGCUCGAUCCAGAAAAUAAUUAAUGAAAUUCGCAAAAGACUUCUAUGAGCCGUUGCAAAGAAGCGGUUCAGUACUCGGUGUGUGAUGUAGCAGCACAUAGAUUGUGUGUUGGACAAGUCGUGCUUAAAGGAAUGGCAGCCGAAGUUGGUGGCUUUGAUGUGGGAGAUGGUUUAUCCACAGGUUUAUCUGUUCGAUAACAAUGAGUCGGUUAUCAAAAUUUACAUGAAUGCAUUGGCUAGUAUCUAGGACCGAAGGAUUUGCAGAACGCGCACAUGCGCAUAUUUGGUUGAAAAUAACGGAUAUUUCCACAGAUUAAAGUUUGAGGUGCCUACUCGGUGAAAGUACUGAUUUGUGAUAAAACAUCGAUUUUCAUAGUUUUACAGAUAGAGAAAUCUAGACACUACAUUCAGUAAUAAUUCUAGUAUUGUACUCAGUAAUGUAUUCCGAGGACUGCCAGUGUAAAAUUGUUAUGUUUUUGGUGAUACGAUUGAUAUAAUUUGUUGAUUAAGCAAAAAUCUAAUGUAAUUAUUCGA